rfam:Felis catus isolate Cinnamon breed Abyssinian chromosome X, whole genome shotgun sequence.
GCCUGGGUGGCUUAGUUGGUUGAGCGUCUGACUUGGGCUCAGGUCAUGAUCUCACGGUUCAUGGGUUUGAGCCCCACAUCGGGCU